rnacentral:rRNA from 1 species
UACGAAGGGGGCUAGCGUUGCUCGGAAUCACUGGGCGUAAAGGGUGCGUAGGCGGGUUUUUAAGUCAGGGGUGAAAUCCUGGAGCUCAACUCCAGAACUGCCUUUGAUACUGAAGAUCUUGAGUCCGGGAGAGGUGAGUGGAACUGCGAGUGUAGAGGUGAAAUUCGUAGAUAUUCGGAAGAACACCAGUGGCGAAGGCGGCUCACUGGACUGGUAUUGACGCUGAGGUGCGAAAGCGUGGGGAGCAAACAGG